rnacentral:rRNA from 1 species
UACGUAGGGUGCAAGCGUUGUCCGGAAUUAUUGGGCGUAAAGAGCUUGUAGGCGGUUUGUCGCGUCUGCUGUGAAAUUUCGGGGCUCAACCCCGAACUUGCAGUGGGUACGGGCAGACCAGAGUGUGGUAGGGGAGACUGGAAUUCCUGGUGUAGCGGUGAAAUGCGCAGAUAUCAGGAGGAACACCGAUGGCGAAGGCAGGUCUCUGGGCCAUAACUGACGCUGAGAAGCGAAAGCGUGGGGAGCGAACAGG